CUUUCACCUGGUUGAAAGGGAAGCCCUAACUACUCCAGUACAGACUUCCCAAGAGGAGUGGCCAGAAACAGGAGACCAACAGUAAUAUGAUCCAUGCACAGAGUCUAGGUAAUCUUAUGGAGAGGAGGGGAAGGCUGGGUGCUGGCGUGCACCGCACUCUGCCAAUAUGGCUUGAAGCCUGGGCAUUGCCACUAAUUUGCUGUGUGACCUUGAACAAGUCACUUUUCCUCUUGGGGCCCGAGUCCUCUUAUCUGUAAACAGAGGGCCGAGGUUGGAUGGCCUUUAAUGUUGCCUUAUGCUGUCUGUGGGCUUAUGGUCCUGACUAAUCAAGACUGCUUGCUGAACUAACAUGGCAGGUCUGACGGACUCCCAGUUUUUUCUUUCGGUGAUGAGAAGGGAGACCAUACAACAAGAUGCACGUUUGUCCCUGCCCCUGACCAGAGCCGCACAUUAUUUAUUGCAGACCACGGAAUCUCCCUGAGCCUCUGUUUGCUUCUGUUAAAAAAAACAAACAAACAAAAAACCCAAAACCAAAACCAAAACAAAACGAGAGGGACCAAUGAAUGUCACUCCCACCCCCAACCCCAGCCAAAGGAGGUAAAGCAGUGCUGUGAGCAGUUCACCUUUGACAUCCAGCUCUUGACCACAGCUGAAGCUUCGGUCUUAAAACGGAACCCAGAAGUGAUUGCAGGGUAUGGGCUGCGUGAAGUUAGAAUGUAGGGCCAACCCUUGGUGGCUUUUGUUGCAGGGAAUGAGUUGACUUUCUGAUUUGACCCUUAAAGUGACCCUUAACAUCUGCUUUCGGCACAGGCCACUGUGAGAAGCAAAAAAGAGAUCUGCCCCCGAGCCACACCUCGGGCCAACAACUCAAAUCAGCAACUUCAGGCAACGGAAGGGUUUUUCAGAGUCUGGGUCUGCUUUAGAAAGCCAGGGGGCUCCUAGUCUAGUUGUACUUAGUGUAGCGUUGGUAUGAGAACAGCAGGGAGUAUUGGAGCAGAGGGUUGUAUUCCAAGACCUAAGGGGCAGGCAGCAAAGGGACAUGACUGACUGUGAUUAGCCACCCCUGGCUCGUGAAGCUGAAGCUCGUGUUGCCGGCUCCAGCAGAGGUGGUGUCCUACAUGUUGCCGUGUGUCAGGAUCAGAACCGAGUUCAAACUACCUUUACCUCUCAGAUUAAUACCUGCUGUGGGAACUGAAGUCACAGUGAGCAAAGGUAGUCCUACCAUGGUUCAAGUGGCUCCUUUGGGUGAGGUUCUUAGAUGUUUUCGUUUUUUAAUAACCACCAACCCCAGUGAUCGGAUCCACCCGAUUGGUUCUAGCAGUUGUCCUGGGCAGAUAGGACACAGUAGUGCAUUGGCAGAAGCACCUGAACCUGAUGUCUACAUUAACCACGACCCCAGUGGGCUGGGGAGAAUAAGCCCAGCAGCGACAAGAUUUUUGACUCUUGGGACAGGCAGAUUCGUGAAGUAGAACUAAGUGGUCCCUGCAAAGAAGGAACAGGUUAGCUACUAUGGCCAGAGGAGCAGCCCUCCUCAGCUUAUAUUCCUGAGGACCUGGUGUGGCUGCUGAGACUUCAAAGAAACAACUCUUCAAACUGGGAAGGAUUGCCCGGGGGUGGGGUGGGGCAAACAAACAAACAAACAAAAACCUCACAGUAUUUUGUUAUCAAAUGGCGGAAGAGCCCCUCCUGCUUCUGAACACUUCUCAGCCACUCUUUCUCCACUUUGUGAUUUCUGAUGCUCCCCAGAUCUCCCUUACUCUGGAACAGAACCUCUUUGCCAGGCUGCUUCAGUAGCCACUUUGAUGCGGCACCCUCCCCCCCACCCCCCCCCCCGCCCCCAACUCAUUUCUCCAGUUUGCCUAACAGGCCUGGAGGGCAGAGAGCAGGGGCUCACAGACCCUCAGGUGAAGUCUUUGUGGAGGGAGGACUGGUGAGGGUCGGGUAUGAGCACGGAUGCUAAGCAAGCAAUGGACUGACAGACUCCCCCAGGCCUGAAGAUUUGUCCCAGCAAUAAAAGUUAUGAAAGAGGCUUUUUUUGGAGAAAGGCUGUUGGGAGAACUCAGAGCCUCCACAGUGAUUGUGGAGGAAGACCAGCACCACAGUGUACAAUGCCUAUUAAGCUCUCAACUAGGACCCCCCCCCCCCACCAUUCUGUAAGCAAGAACAAAGGUGAUUGGAAGGGUUUGUGAAGUCCUUUCUGGCUGUGGAAGGUGAUGUAUAAAUAACCCUAAGAAAUGGGUCCUAUUUCAGACCUCAGUUCAUAAGAGCAUCGACAAUUCUGAAUCUUAAGAUAGUGUUUGCAGCCAGCCUUGGAAACGCAGAGCCUUGACAAAUGAAGCAACAGAUAUGUGGAUGGACAAGGGAAUGGCGGUAUGAGUUUGUCAUAAGCUCUGGCUGGGGUUGCAGGUGUGGGAGGAGAGACUCACAGUGCGAGCCUUCAUAGAAGACAGGCCUGGAUUUGAAUCCCAGGCCAGCCACUUACAAGCUGUGUGACAUGCGGACAGGCUAUUUAACUUCUCCGAGCCUCCCUUUCCUCAACUUUGUCCAUGCCAAAGAUCUCAAGUUCAAGUGAUGCUACCUUCGCUUCCUUGCACGGGGCUGGUUAUUAUACAGCCCUGUAAUGGUGGGCUAGCUUAAGAGGACAGGGUUUGGGAGCAGCUUCCCCGGCACAUGGAGCCUGGUUUGCUCAGUUAGUGGAAAGUUUGGGAAAAGGGGAGAACUGAGGGGAGGCCCAUCACCUAGACACACACCUGCUCUUCACUACUCAGGGGCUUUAGAGGCCCAAUCGGAAAUACUAAAUAUAUAACCAGGGCAUGACUGGGGUGCUUGACAGCAGAGGGAAGGAGGGUCUUCUGGGAGCCAGGUCUUGGGGAACAACAGUGAGGGGAUGGGGUGGGGGACACAUGUGUGGCAUACCAACAUCCAUGAUGAUGCCAGCAGUGAGCAAGGAGGGAGAGGUUGGUCUCUAUGCUGCAGGCACAGAGCCAGUGGCGUGUAGAUAAUCUAGGCCUCCUCUUAAAGAUAGUGGCCCUGGAGUCCAGUGCAUGUCCGCCAGGUCCAGUUUCUGAGCAGACUCUCGCACGGCAAGUGGGGCCCUGGUGUGGUCAUGAGGAAGGCACAGGAAAUGCUCACAGGAACUGCAGAGAGCAGUGCCAGGGUGGAGCUCCUACUGAAGUCUCCUACUGAAGCAAGGUGCCACGUGUCAUACUGUUUAGCAACAAAGGCUUUCUGGAUUCCCCUGACCUGUAGAGCCAGCCCACCCCAGCCUGACCUCCACAACUGCUUCUCCUCUUGAUGCUUGCUAUGCCAAGCUCCUCUCGAGUUCUCAGUCUCAUGUUCCCCACAUUAUCCCCGGGAGUCCUCUUCCAAUGCUUGGCCUUUUCUUCCUGAGGCUCCCCUGUUGGGCCUGGGAUCUUGGCUUGCUUCUCUCUGACCUGUAGUGUCUCUGUGUCUGCGGUAGCCCUCCGUCCCCACCCAUGCCAAUAAGACAUGAAAUCUCAGCCCUGUGUAGUCAGAUACCCUCUGCUUCCUGUUGGGGUGACAGAGAGCUACCAAAGGUCACACAGUGUGACUGACUGUAGCUAGGGCAGGCUCUGUGACCAUGGCUUAUUCCAGAGUUGCCUGAAGCCUUCAUCCUCCUCUGUCUGGCAACUCUACAUCUGUCCCCCAUGUUAAUCAGUGGAAACUCGCAUUGGAUUUCUCAGCCCGCUUUUGGCCAGCUUGCUCCUGUGAUACCAACUCUCAAUUUUUCCUCCCUUAUCCCAAGGCCAAAGUCACGUUAGUUGUAUGAGGAAGUGCUUUCUCAUUGCCUCCCGGUAGCACUCAUUCUAAAAUUUGCUAGAAAGGUCUUUCUUCUGACUAAAGUUGACCCUUCCUCAGGGAGAUUAUACCAUUUAACGCCCACCCCCUUUAAAUGUCUUCCUCGCCCACUGCCAGCUCUUCUGCUGGCUCUGACUCGCCACUUGAUACUCUAUGACAAUGGCCUGUCACCACUCCCCUUAUACAAGUCAAAGUUCUUACAAGUACUGUUUGCACCUGUGUCUGGGGGUCCCCUGCCCCUUCUCAGCCGUUAUGACUCGGGUACUCUCUGUUGACCCUUUGGACUGAAUCGUGACUUUUGCAUCGCAAGCCCGCUGGCCUCCAUUUCUCAGUUCUAAGGUGAGCAAGGCUCGCCCACGCAGAGCUGGUGGCGCAGUGCUCUCCUGCCUCUCCUUCCAGUAACAGUGCCACCUCCAUCUUUGCCUGUGCUUCUUCUCUGGCUGGCGAUAUCCAGUCCCCGUCCCCUCUGGUCUGCCUCACUGGACCACUGGGGGAGCUCGCAGGCAUCUUGCAGAAGCAACCGGCAGCUUGUAUUUGCAGUGCGGCCUGAGUCUGUUGCUUUUCUUGCCUGAGGUAACUCCACACCUCUGUCUUUUUUCCCUUUAUUACCUGUGGUCUUGGUAAAUACUGUCUCUGACCACUGGAGGCCCACGUUAUAUGGGGGCCUUGACCAGUGCUCAGCCCAGCUGGCCACGCUCACAGCUCCUUCUCGUUUUGGUGACUCCUCUUAUGUUGUCAGUUGUCCUGCUGAUUUCCCCUUGGGACUGCUUGGAAGGGCUCUUCUUGUAUGCCCAUCUGCGUUCCCUCCAACUCACAGCCUCUUUACAGCAGCCACCUCCUACCUCUUUGGGACCUCAUUGGGACCUCAGUUUACCCACAGCACAGCUGACAGGGUCACUAAGAAUGCAGAUCUGAUCAUGCUUUCCCUCUUUAAAAUCCUCUAGGUGACAGGAUAAAGUGUGAACUCCUCAGUGGGGGUGUCCAAGGGCCCUUCCCAUCACACAGUGCUCCUGAGAAUGGGGUUCAAAGAGACCCUAUUUCUCAACCUAGCAACAUUUGUGCUGUGUGUCUUCGAGGGAGUGGCGUAACCUUUAUGAGUCUCUGAAUUAUGUAAGGAUAAUACGCCUGCCUCCCUAGAAUGAAGUCACGUACAUGUUUGUCUGUCUGGAUUCUCUGCUGGCAUCUGCCUCACUUGUAGGCACACAGUGAGUGGGGCUCACUGUUUCUAUUCCGCUCUCCUGUCCACUCUUCCUGGUAGCUUUGCACCCCAUGUCUGCCCCCUGCUACCUGCACCGGAGGGGGCGGUCCUUCCUAGGAGUGGACAUUUUCCCAUCCCCAUCCAUAUAUAAGCCCCAGGCCCAUCCUUCACCCACUCCAAGCUCAUGCUUAGUCCAGCAGUUUCCUCUUCUUAACUCCCCUAACUGUUUAAGGUGUUUCUCAGGAGUUAUACGUCAGAAAUACCUCAGAGGUGCUGUUCCUAGACGGCCUUCCAAGACCUUCACUUCCCUAUCUGGCAAUUAUAUUUCAGUCAAGUGUUAUUGCCUGGGCAAACAGACUCUCUAGGACAGGGAUCAUGUCUUAUUUAUCUCUAUAUCCCUAGGGCCCAGCAGUGUCCUUGAACAUGCUAGGCUAUCAUAGAUCCUUGAAAAUGAGCCAUUUCAAACUUGGCAAUGUUUCUAGGUGGCAUUCAAACUUCUGCUCAAUUGUUUCUUAUUCACUUUUCUGCUCCUCUUGGCGGCAAGGAACUGUCAGCUCAACUUUAUAUGAAGGGACUGUCAUGUCAGCUCAACUUUAGAAGGGCAAGUCACCCAGGGCAAAGCCCAUUGCAGCGCGGUGACCUGGAGAACUGGAAACGGAAAACUCAGAGCGCCCAUUACCGACUGCUUGGCUAGUCCCAGUAAGGAAGGAACUGCUAAUUGGUGACACCGAGUUCUAUCCAAUCUUUGUCCCACUUGAGCCCGGUGGCCUCAGAGGGAUCCUGGGUUGGCCUUAGAUGUCCCAGGAUAGGGUUGGAGGAAGGUGGUACUCAUGGGUGAAGGGAGGCUGCACUGAAAAUUUGAAAGAUGAGGAGGGACAGAGCCACAUUGGAGAGUGAAGUGAGGCCUCCUAUUCCAGCUGCCUGGGGUUCUCAGGAGGUGUGGGAAUCCUCUAUUUGCCUCUGUGUUCUCCCACAUACAAUUUGCUCCAGGGGCUAUUAAGCCUCCACCCUGGACUUUGAUUUUGUUUUAAAGGGUCCGAGAGUCUCUGGGAUGAAUGGUCAGCUCUCUGACCACUGCUAGGCCUAGUCCUUUGGGGAUCUCUUCAGCUUUGCCAUCUGGCUAAGCCUCCUUGCCAGACUCCACUCUAUGGGGGCAAUUAUAUCAUCUUCUAUGUUGCUAGACAUGACUGGUUUUUGCUGCUUGGGUCUCUAGCAGAGGUGAGGGGAAGAUGGCAAGCCUCAAUCUCUAUUGUCUAUCUUUAUGUCUACUGUCUUGCAAGGCCCUGGUGGUGAGAUAGCCUCUGGCCACAGUGGGAAGGCCAGGCUAUCUCCUGCCCUGGAACGAGCAGCUAGGGCAGCUGGUCCUUAGGAAAGGGGCAUCAGGUUUUCAGCCCAGUAUCCUCUCGAAUGUUCACUCUCUUCCAAAUCUUACUGGCAGCAGAGGGAUGUGGGGAAGUGGGAUGUGGGGGGAAGAGGGGCUGAAGAGUCAGGAAUUUUGUGCCUCGGGUUCUCUUUUUAGACACCUUUCUCCAUGUCAGAGCUUUACUACCUUCCAAUAUGCUAAGAAGUGAGACAGGUCUAGAUGCUUCAAAAUACUCAGGAUCUCGAGGGAAGCCCCUCCUUUCGGUAGCUGUUUCUAAGAGCAGCUUUAAUCCAAAUUCACUUCCUCUGCCUUCCCAACACUCUGAAUGUCCAAGACAGAGACUCAAACAUUCUCCAGUCCCUCUGAGGCCUGAGUGUUUGAGUAUUUAAAGGGAUCUCAGCUCUAACGGAUUGUCACACUUAGACACAUCAGCUCUUCCUGCUGGGGCAGUCAGGUUUCUGGGCAUGGGGGAGGAGGCCUUUUCUCUGGAGGUCGUUAGGGAGGACACAAGUUCUCUUCUCUGCAGGGUGCCCGACUGACUCUGCAGGGUGCUAGAGUGCUUGCUGGGGCAUGGUGUCUGAACCAGCUGGUCCUCAGCAGACGUCUCCUUUGAGAAGUCUGAUUUCUUCCGUUCAGCAGGUCCAUAAACAGUGAACCAGGGAAGUGCCUGCUAGCAGAUCCACUCAUCAGUGGAAGGCUUUAAACCCUCUUGGCUUCUUGACAUGGGCCUUGUUCCUAUCUUGUUGGCACACACAUUCCCUAUCUUUCUCUCAUAAUCUUUCUCUUUAAAGUGAGAGUUUGUCUUAGUGUUCUUUAAAGAAGUCACAAGACAAGGCAGAGCGGACAAGUCCUCCCCCCCACCCCCAGAUUACUUUGUUAAGUAGGUCCUUCCCCAGAUCCCAUUAAGCUAGAACAUUAAAUUUGACAGCAACUCCUUGAGUAGCUUCUCUUUUCUACCUGUAAAGCAUCUGUAGCUACGGCUGAGGUUCUGGACGUAAGCAUCUAAGCACGUAAGCCACAGAGUGAGCUAACGGGAACUGGGCUGAGAUUCCAUUUAUCUGAUGGGUGAUGGAAAGAAAAGACUCUGUAGAAGCUGGUCCUCAAAGGCCCCACCUGGGGAACCUGGGUAGGGAAUUUAAAGGGAAUCACCAGCCUCUGUGGUUUGAAAGAGGUGGUGGUUGCUAUGGGGUCCUCAAAUCAAUAUUCUUAAAAUUGAUUUAUUGAAAAUGCUUCCUAGUCCAAAAAUAUUUUAGAGUAAGGAGAGGCAGAGGGCCUAAGUUACUGAUAUGUGUUCAUUCAUUCAUUCAUUCAUUCACUCAACCGGUAUGUUAAAAGCACCUACUAUGUGCGUGGUGCUGCUUUGGUACUGAGAUGAAUAAAACAAAGGCAUGACUGCCCUCUGGAGCUUGUAACUAAGACAGUGACCAGAAGCUUGUGCAACACAGGAAGAGGUUGGCUGGCUAGACUUUCAUCUCCACUUGCAUCUUGAUUUUUUUCUGCAGUGGAUAUUAUUGUCUUCUAGUUGUCUAAUUGUUGUAUAAAGAAAGCUCAAAAACAUUUUACACAAGGACAUACGAUGGGACCUUUAAAAAAGAUAGCCCCACUCUGACUUAGAGCUCUCAGGACACAGUCUUAUUCUGUUUUAGGUGACUUGGUCCUAAUUCAACCCUUCUUUGAAUGUUCCUGAACUUUUUUUAGUUGUUGGUUCUGUGAGUCUGAGAAGUACAGCCACUGUAUUCUCAUUGUGUACGGCUCUCACUGUGGCUGCAUCCCAGUGGACUAUCCCCACUGAGAAAUGGUGACAGAACUGGAGCUAUGAAAGACCUGGUUUUGGUUAAAGAGCAAACUUAAGUUUGCAUCCAACUCCAAUGGAAUCAGAUGGCUUUUAGUUUAGUCAUGAUUAAAUGCGCCGGUAAGCAGAGCUAAUCCCCUACUUUCCUGCCAGCGCUGUCUGUCUGUCCCUGCUUUCCGGGUUUUCCGUAAAUCAGAGCUGAAGGACACAACUUUAGACUAAGGUACUCUGACACUUGAUGUGUCAAAGUGACUGUGGUUGCAUCUGUACCGAUGGGCCAAAUAGAGCAGGGAAAGGACCUCCAUGGGCUGAGAAGCUAGUCCCAGGGAAGGGAUUAUGGAAAUGAAGCUUAACUGGGCCCAACAGGGCCCAGAUGGGUUCAGAGAAGAAGCACUCACAUUUUUCAAGACAGGGGUAGAUUAAACUCUCCAGUGGAAUCAGAUGGCAUCAUUGUGAGAUGUUUAUACUCAUAGAGCUACAAAGUGAUACUAUACCACAUGCCGCCAGUUCAUAGCUAGGGUUCAUCCUCUGGACUCUGGGGGUUUAGGGGAAAUGCUUGCACAAUUUCCCUAUCAAUUAAGUAGCAUGCCCCUUACUAUUUUGCUCAGCAAAAGAGUAGUUAUAAGUCCAACUUUUUUUGUUGAGCAAUCUUAAUUGUGUGUGUGUGUGUCUGUGUGUCUGUCUGCCUGCCUGUCUUUUGAGACAUCUCGGUCCUUGGCUUGGCCACUCCACCUUCUGUGAGAUGCACAGCACAUUAACUGGCUCUGGCUGCUACCUGGUCAGGGUGGGUGAGUCGGAAAAGAAGCCCUACCCCUGACUUUUACUCAGAUGAUACAAAAUGAGACAUGACACACGGCGUGUACCUCCAAGGUGAAGGCUAGAGACUGGUUUCAUCUACUCCAUGUGCUGCCAAAGACCUAUAUCGCUCCUGGAACCAAAACCUCCCUUAUACUUUAGGAAAGGUAAAAGUUGAUUUGUAGUUGGGCGUGAACACAUAGGGGUAGCAGUUGUGGGCAGCUGUUAGGGGUCCUUAGGGGUUUUGCCAGGUUUAUCCACGGGGAAUCCAGAAAUCCUUGAAGUAACUUCUAGAGAUUAGUGCAAACAAGAAAUCUUCUGCCUAUCUGGGGUCUUGGUAUCCACUAAGUUCUGCACGUAAUUUGAGUGGCAAGAGAGGCAAGAAAGAAGUCAGCUCAUUAAAUUAAUGAUUUACUGAGCAACAAUUCUUUUUCAAAGUUGAAAUUGUUUUUUAAUGGUAAGGAAACAUUAAAUCCAUUUAUCCAUCCAACAACUAUUUAUUGAGAACAUAUCAAGUCUUUUGGCCCAAGAGGUGGGAUUAAGAAAAGUAGCAACCUCACCUUUCCCCUCAACUCCCCCAAGGAAGAGCAGUGUAUGUUUUAAAACUAUGAACAAGGGAGAGAAAACAGGAACUGCCUUUGAUGCAGCAAAACUGGGAGGAAUCUCUGAAACAUGGGAAGGCUGCGGGUCUGUUUCUGAAGGAAGCAUUGCUUCAGACCAUUUAUGCAUGUGAAGAAUGUGUCCUGGGCUCGUGACAGACAAGGGUAGAAGACCCCAGAGCACACGAUGGAGUGAGUGGCUGUGGCUGCCAGGACAGUCAGAUAGUGACUGUCCCAUAACCCCCCUUGAUCCAGAUUUUUCAGACCUUGAGGUCGUGGGGUCCAAGUGGAACUCUUCAGUCUAUGUAAGCCAGAAGACAGACACCCCUGCUGCCUCCUGACUCUACCAGUGACAGGCACCUUGCCUAUAUCGGACAGAAGGAAGCAAAAGUUGCUCCCAGUGCACACAGUACCUUUCUCCUGGUUGCAAAGCUCACAGGGCCUUUUCUGUACACAAGCACUGAGGAUGUACUGCCUAACCAGAGUUUGCGGAAGAGGAAAAGGUGAUAGUGUAAGCAGAAGGAAGCUUUGAAAUAAACGUGGCUAGCAAAUACACAGAGAGACCUCGGGAACUAAACGGCUCAACAUGGAAAACCAGCAGAUCUGCUCAGAUGGCAGAGUGAAUAGAACUGAAGAGAGAGAAUCUGUGGAAACAAAGCAGGAUUCUCUUUGACUGUGGGAGAAGAUGAGGAGGUAGAGGACUGGGAAGUUCAGAGUCGAGAUGGGAAGGAUGGCUGGCCAGAUCAACAUUUCUCUGUAAGGAGUUUUAGAGAGGUGGGUGGAGGAGAGAAGUAAAAGCAGAAGCAGCAGAAAUGAAACAAGAUAAAAAUCCAAGCAUAAAGCACGACCAGGUAGCCAAGUAGUGUGCUUAAGGACAUAACCAUGUCCGAACACAUCAUGGUGCCAAGAUGACGUGAGAGAGAGAUGGUUGGGGCAGGAAGAGCACGCAAGAAGCGCGUGCAGUAACAUGUAGACUGAACAGGAGGAAACGUGACAACUGACCUUCCACAGUGUCCCUGCCAAAGAGCAACAGAGCCUCAAAAGUCAGCUGGGGUGAGGAAGAUAUUGGGCCUGGUCCAUCAACAUGAUGACCAAUUUGUGACUGAAAAGUUCUGUUCGGUAACAUGGGUUUGCAGUCUAUCGUUCCUUGACUUGCACAUACCAAAUCACUAAAAGUCACUAUUUAAAAGCAAAACACUGGAAAUAGGGGUCUAGAGAUCACUCUGCUAGUUGUACACCCUUGUGCUUUACAGACGGCAAAGCAAAGCAGCCGGGUGGUGGCCGAGGAGACAUGAACUGAGUUGUGUUCAGGAUCAGUGGCUAGACUGCAGCAGUGCUGGUAAAAGGUCUUAGUCUCCAGCAAUCUUGCAGGUGCACUGUAUGCAUUCAAACCGGAGAAUAGACUUGUCUCUUGCUUAGCACUGAGAAUUAGGAGAAGCGGAGAGAGAGCUCCGUGUUUAAGAAUGCAGACUGUUCUUGCAGGGGACCUGAGUUCAGUUCCCAGCAUCCACAUCAGGUGGCUCAUACAACUGUACAUCCUGGUCCAGGAGAUCCGACGCCCCCUUCUGACUCUCCAGGGCAGGAACAUUCAUGCGUGUGCACACACAGGCACAUGUACAUGUAAAAUAAUAAAAGAUACCUUGGGAAAAAAGUUACAGUUGCCUGCCUGGAAUGGUGCUUUGUUAGAUGUUUACUGUCCAUUAAAUUCACUUCGGAGCACCUAGAUAAAAGACUGGAAUAAUUGUCUCUCCCAAGAUGAAGUUGUGGUUUGCAGUAAAUAUACCUCAAUAUCUUAUUGAAUAAAGCAUAGAGGCAGACCUGAGUGCCUAGGACCAUAGGUGCAUAGAGAACUGAACAGAGGCAUUAAGAGAGGCCUCGUAUUGGACCCAGUGGCUUGGCAUCCUGGGGCAUGGCCAGCCCUACUGGAUGGGGACAGGGGUCAGGCAGAAAGUGGUUCUGGGAGACUUGGGGCCUAUUUGGGGAGGCUGUUGUUUCUGGAAGCUGGUCCGGGGCAGAUCCCCGGCCUGCCUCUUAGGCACCCCACUGUGUGUGGGAGGCUGUGAGUGAAAAGGAGGCUUGUCUGGUUGCAUUUGCCAGGGUCCCAGUAAGGGCACAUGUCCUUCCGGAUCCCUUAGGAAGCCUCUCCAGAGAUUAGGAUUCAGAAACAACUUUUUAAAAAUGAAAAUGAUUCUUCCCCUUCAAACGUUUGCCCUUGCCUACUGUUUGCUGCGUUUGGGAGAGAGCCACGCGAGGCUGUGUUUCCAGCUUGAGUUCGUACUUCCCUGCUGGUUUCUGCAACUCACAGCUGGUCCCAGCUCUUCACUUUGUCCUCACCUGUCCAGAUGUUAGGGUGAGCAGACACUGUGCUUCACCGGUUGUGUUCCAAGUUGUACCACGAACCUGACCAGUAUUUUGUUUUACAAGUGUAGAAGGAGACCUCAGAGCCACGAUGUGUCCUGUCCUAGCUGCAGGCAGAAUCAACUUGAAAGCAGUUCCCUUAGCUAAUAUAAUUCAUCACCUCCUUUGGGUUUUUGUUUUUUAAGCACUCCUCAGGAAGCAGUUGGCUACAGUAAUGACCAGGAAGGUUUACCCUCAUUUCUAGCUGUCCCUGAAGACCCACUAUGACUUAGAACAGUACUGGAAUCAGGAUUAUCCCAUCUAUCUACGAGGACUGAAUAUGUGAUCUUGGUCUCCGGCCAUCUUUGCCCUCCUGGUUAUUGUAGUUGCUAUAAAGCGUUUCACGUUGCCUGUUAGUGUCAAGGUCAACCCUCCGGCUUAUCGUGCGUGCUUCAUGUGCCUUGUCCCCACUGAAAAGCCUCUGAGUACAACAAGAGGAUACUGCAUGGUAGAUGCACGGUAGUUGGUGAGACUGGCAAAAUGGAGUUGGAAGAUGAGAGGGGCUACCUUGUAGGAUGGAUACGCAGAAGCGCCAGUCUCCAGAUGCUUAUCUCUAAUAUUUCCCUUCCAGUGCACAUGGGUGAGGGGAGGGGCCAAUUCCAGAGGGCACAUCUCUUCAAGCCUGACUUGACAUCAAGGCAGAUUAUUUUUACUGGUAUUUACAUUUUUUUCAAAAUAAGAUAAAUUUUGAAGGCGGAUAUGGCUACUUCUGAGAACCAAAUACCUGAGCCCCAGGUAUUUAAGCUUCCUAAAUACUGCCUUACCACCCCCCUCCCCUGCCUGCCUAAAGAGAUAGGAAGAGUGCCUGUACUUUGAGCAUCAGCCACAGGACUCACAAUAAUACUAUUGAAGGCUUGAAUAAGACCCACCAAUUUGGCUUGCCCAAACACCACUAAAUACUGAGGAAGAAGUUCAACUUGCUAGUGUAGAGGACCUUAGGGGCAGACCCAGUCCCAAUCUCCCAGGAGUCUUUCCAUCUUAACAGACCCAGCACCUUGGGACCUUCAGCAGCUUGCAGUGUACAACGGGGACUAUAGCUUGACAUGCUUCUGCUCCCAUCCAGCACCCUCCUCCACUUCUUCCUAUAGCUUCCUGCUUUUUCUGAAGCUCAUUCACCAGGGUUCAACUUAGCAGUUGGCAAAAGAAUUAGAAUUAUGUAACUAUAAUUUAUAUACAAGUAAAAGAUGAUUUUAUGGGUUUGGGAUCACUUGGGAGCACCUCUGGGAGCACUCCACGGUAUAGUCGCACCAUCCUGUAUCUGAUGCUUGAGCCCCACCAUUACAGAGUCAUUCUUUUGUGGAGGCUGGACAAUCUUCCAAAAUGUCUUCAGCCAGUCAACAGCAGAUGGGAGCAGCUCAGAUCUGGAAAGGAUUGUUUCCCCAAGAGUCAGUCGGCCUUGGUGGUUGGUGAUGACAGAGAGGAAGCCAUGACAAGACGAUUUUGGAAAUUGUAAUAGGACUGGUAGUUUCAGACCUUACGAGAGACUGGGUCCCCACUCUAGAAUGUUCCACAAAUGGAGUCACCUACCACACUGGAAAUAUAAAAUCGAAUGUAAUCCAGCUACAUUGGAGGUGGGGAUAACCUACACCAACCCGAGCAAACCAGAAACUCAGAGGGAAAGGACUGACCACACACGAGAGCCAGAAGACGCCAUAACUGAGCCUGAGAUCUGGUGAGAACCAGGCCUCCCAUCAACCCAAAACUUCCUUCUCUGGUAAUUGUCCUGUAUGAGCAGGAUAUCAGUUACUUUUCUCAACGGCAAAAUGCUUGACAAAGUCAGCAUGAGAGUACAGUCCAUCAUGGUGCUGAAGGUGUAGCCAGAAGCAGGGUGAAGUACUAGGUCCCAUUUCCUCAUACCCAGGAAGCAGAGAGAGGCAAGUGUGAGCAUUUGGUUGGUUUCCUCCUUUGCCCCAAGAUAACAGCCCGUAGGAUGGUGAUACCCACAUUCAGGGUAGGUCUCCUCAAACUCCUCUUGAAACAUCCUCAGACACAUGCAGAAGAAUGUCUCUAAAUCCAGUCAGGUUGAUAAAUCAUUAAAGGCACUUUUAUGUGUGGCUACUGUGUGAGUUGAAGACAGGAGAGACAGGAAGAACAAAGGUCACGUGUUUACUCUGUUAUUCUGAGGAAUGGGUUAGGGGCAGAGUUUGGAUGAAACGGGCAGUUUCUGCAAGAGACUUUAUAAGCCUCAGGACACAGGUGAAUUCUGGAACCUCACUGGAUCCUCUCACACUUCUGUACCACACUCAGCAGCUCUGGGCACAACCCUCCGUGUUCUCAUAAGGGUCAUUGUCAAUGUAGGUGGCAGCCUGGCAAUCUCAACUUACAGAAGAUGAUCCAGGUGAGGUCGAGGUCAUUGUGAAUGUGCAUGGUGUGGUCUCCUAGAAGCCCCUGGAAGACCUGUUUACAGGCAUUGCAUCAGAAGAGGGAUUGAGGGGGUCCCUGGAGCUUUGCUAUGGAAGCUGCAGCAUCCUAGUGACACCAUCCCAUCUGGACUUGAGAUGCUGGAGGAAAAAGACCCAGAGGCCCAUUAGCCCACGUGCAUGACUCCUCACUGCUCAAUGCAGGCUAUGGCUUUUCAGGUCUGUCGUGGUUGGGGAGGGGAGUCCUGGGAGUCGUUUCAAGAACCCCACUGCACAACCAGGAGAAGGAAAAGAUUCCUCUUUGUCCUCGUUGCCCAGAGACUAAAGGAGGCAGAAGGGAGAGUGUAAGAUUUAGAGGGUCUUUCAGUUGGAAACCGAAUGGAAUGCUUCAAGGCAUUAUUCUUGGACUGAGAAGAAAAGUUACAGACACCGAGUAUAGCCUAAGUUCUCUUGAAAGGAUCGAUGAUAGAUCAGUGAAGAGUGCAGAAGGACGGGCUAGAGGAGAAGACCGAAGAGGGAGAUGAGAGAAGAAAUUAAGCCAAGCAGCAGGCCCAACUUUGCAUGCUGGGAAAUGGGCAGGCACACAAUUUGUCCCGACAUUACCACCCUCAUUCUUCUGCCCUCUUGUCCACGUGCUGUAGUUUUCUCCCUUCCUCUGACAAAGUCCACACUUUUCAGGAUGCAUUAUUAGCUAAACUCUGGUGUCUUUGGAUGGGCAUUGUAUAAGCUAAAUUUCCACAACAGUUUAUAUAUAUUCAAUCAAGUGAGGACUUCCAUACCUGCAAAGAUAUUAUGCAAUCUGAGUAACACCCCUGAGAGAAAGAACUUACUAAGCAGAUAUGACAGACAGUGCUGAGGGCCGGAAUGUAGGUUGAUGGGUGUCAGUUAGGUACAGUGGCUCUGUCCAUAGCCAUUCCCAAGAUGACAGGUGCUCUGGCCUUGGGGAUUGGGUGUACUUUCUUUUUGUACUUGUCCCUGAGGCCCAUAGUCCAACAGCAAAUGCAGCCUUGCUGAUCUGUCACAUCCAGCUGUGUGCUUUGUGUCGUCGUUCUCAUUUAUUAGGGAUUACAAAGAACUUCGUUCUGGGUUAUGUGCUUCAUAGCAGCACCAAACAGCAGGCCUUACCAGCCCUCUACUCCCUGUUGUAUUGAGUGACAUGUUAAGGUCAGAAUGUGUUACACGAGAGAGCCCAAAUUUAAGACCAAGCUAGUGUGGUUCCAAAGUCUGUGACCCUCUACUGGUGGCAUCGCUCGAAAGAAACUUAUGUGAAUUUCAGUACCCUUGAGGAACAUGAUGUAGUCCCUUCAGCUCAAGCCUGUACUCUCCACUUUUCUCAGCCAUCUGCCCUUGACAUACUCAGUGGGUUAAAGAUGGUGCUGGUAAUUUAUUCUGUCAAGAGGACCUGGGAGUGGGGAGUGACUGGGGGACAUGCCACUCCCCCCACCCCACACACACACCCUAGGUCCUCUCUGCCAUUGUGAUACCUCGGAGUGGAAGGUGGUGAGAAUCCCAGCUGCAGAAGACGGCUUAGAUCUACCUGAAAAUGUCCAUCCCAGGAGAAGACAGUCCUUGGCUAUGGCGAGCUGCAGCUGUAUUUGAAUUCUAUGGCUACAGAUCACAGAAGGACUUGGAAACAUCAAAAGCUGUUGUUCAGCUUUGGGAGCACUCAGCAGGGCUCUGGAAAGAUGGUCACUGCAAAGCGCCACGACUCUUAACGGCUCUCCGGAAUCUUCUUAGCACUGGAAGGCUCAUGCAAUGGACUUGCCUCUCAGACUGGCUUGUGACCGUGAUGUCAUGGAUCGUCCGCCUCCAGAUCCUGAUCCCAGUUUUGAAUACAGUGUAUGCUUUCGCACAUGACUUUAGGGCAGAUAAGGGAAGAAAGGUGGAGUUCCUGAGGAUUCAGGCUCUACUUCUAGGUAUUAGUGUGGUUAAGGUUUUGAAAAGUCUACACUCAGACAAUAGUACAUUGGAGAAACCAUCACAGCGAAAUAAAGGCUCCUAUUCACAUGGUGUGUGUAAAAGAGCAUUUACUAUAAAUUUCUCAGAAUGACAGGAAGCAGCAAACAACUUGAAGCCCAAUAAGGGGUUGUUUUUUAAAAGUGGAGUUCUUCCACACAAGAGCUUUACAGUUUUAAAAAUUAAUUUGGCCGUAUGUGUGACAACCUGGAAAGGAGCUUGUUUAGUUAGACAAACAAGUUUCAAAUGAUGCAAUUGCCAUAGCAACGGUGUGUACCUCAUGCAUGCACAUACUUUCAUGUGCAUACACGCAUUCACGUGUGUGCACAACAUGUACCUAUGCACACUGUGUAUAUAUGCAAACAAUAUGCAUACAUGCACACACAUGUGCCCACACACAUUGCAUGUUAUAUAAUUUGCAGGAGUGAAACUCCACACAGGAAAAUGUCAAUGGUGCACAGAUUAAGGUGUGUGUUUGCACAUCUGUGCAUGCAUGUGAAAGCCAAAGGGCAUCCUUGGUUUUCUCAAAAGCCAUCACUUUGCUUUUGGGGGAUGGAGUCUCUCAGUUCUCUGCUGCUUGCCAGGUAGGCUAGGAUGGUUGACAGUUCAAUGGUCUUUUGGGUCUUUACCUCUGCAGUGUGGGGUUACAAGCACAUUAACACCAUUCCUCCCUCUCUCCUUCCCUCCCUCCCUCCCUCCCUCCCAUCUCCUUUCCUCCCCAACCCCCCACCCCCUGGCCUCUCUCUCAACAUGGGUUCUGAGGAUCAGGUUCAGCUUUCCACGCCUGCAAGGAAAACACUUCACUGACUUAUUUCUCCAGUGUGGUGAAGUCUUAAAUGAAAAUCUAACACAGUUUAGAGGAAAGUGAUCAUGGUGGCUAAAUGGUCAAUGAACAAAACGGGUGAACUUGUUCAUGGCUUUACUUGGCUGCAUGGGCUCACUGAGUUUUCAGGCUACCUGAGAUCAGUCACAUAUAGUAUGUGAGAAUCAAGGCUGCAGCACUUCUCAGAAAUAUAUAUAACAAACGGAAUGUAGGGUUUUACUGCUGUGAACAGACACCAUGACCAAGCCAACUCUUGUAAGGACAACAUUUAACUGGGACUGGUUUACAGGCUCAGAGCUUCAGUCCAUUAUCGAGGCGGGAGCACAGCAGCAUCCAGGCAGGCAUGGUACAGGAGGAGCUGAGAGUUCUACCUCUUCCCCUGGAGAAGACUGGCUUCUAGGAUGAGGUUCUUAAGGCCCAUACCCACAAUGAUUCACUUCCUCCAACAAGGCUACACCUACUCCAAGGCCACACCCCCCAAUAGUGCCACUCCCUGGACCAAGACUAUUCAAUCCACCACAGAGGAUUGUGUUUUUUGGUAUAGAACUUACAGCUUUUAGAGUCUCCCUGUUCAUUGCAACACCUGAUAAGCCAUUGAUCAUACUUGUAUUUAACCAGUAAGAACCGAUUUACAAGACUCCAGAAGUAUCUGAGCCUAUCAGAAUGCAGACUGUACUAGAGUUGGCCAUUUGGCCAAGUCUUUCCAGAUAAGUGUCACCAGGCCAGGCACCCAGCUUUACACCUCCUAGUGCAGAAAGCCUCACAUGUGUGACCCACAGUCGUUUCUGCAAAAGAGUUCUUAAGAAAAAUAUGCAUUGAACUACUGUACAGGGGAUGGUGAAUGGUUGCCAGCUAGUAUUGGUGGUGAUAGGGGGUGCUUGGGUUUGCUGUAAAACGCUAAAUAUGAAUGCCUUGAAAAGGAAGACAUAGGUGGUUUUUAGCAAGUAGAUAAAGCUAUGUCUGUUGUGACAGCAUUUUGGAAUAUUUUGGUAACUUCAGCUCUUCUGUGUCUCCAAAGAGGUUUAUACUCCAUCAUAAACCAUUGAGAAAAAUGAAUAUGUAUCUUUGGGCCCUUCUCAUCCAGAAAGAAAGAUCCCAAGAACCAGCACUGAUAUCGGUGUCAUAGAACACUGAAAGGACCAACCUAGACCACAUAGAAAGAUCCUAUCUCAAAAACCAAGGGCUGUGAAUGUGGCUUAGUGGGAGAGUGCUGACCUAGAACCUGCUCAGGUUGGAACCCAGCACUAGAGGAAAACAGAGAGGUAUGUGUGCUGGAGGAAGAUCUUUCAACAGUGGGGCAGCCCCGAUGGGUUGGAAGGGUCUUUUCUGUACCCAGGGAGCGUCUCCAGUUCUUGUCCUCAAAUAUCUGUGGAUAUUUGUCCUAAACAUGCCUCUCCACUAGAAUUAAACUCCCAAAAAUCCGACGCCCUGAUCCACCAAAUAUCAAUCCCCAGCGGUGGAAACUGAACACUGGUGUGUAAAUCUGCCUAGAUGGUUCUAUCAUGCAGCCAAGGUUGAGAGCCACUGCCUUGUUCUUCGAGCUGAGUUAACUUCUCCUAGAGCUGUAUAUGGGAUCAGGCACCCCGGACCUCCAUUUUUGACUGCAUCCUGAGGGCAAGUUUUUUCUUGGCGUGGGGGGGGGGGGAUUGUGUAUUUCAGAGUAUUUUCUCUGUGGUAUGUUCACACCUAUGACUAUACCUCUAAGAGUAGCCGAAAGGACUACAGGAAAAGCCAUGCAGAUAUAGACUACAGCAGGUGAAAAGUGCUCUGUGAAGCUUAACCCAGGCUCCAAGACAAGUUAUAGAAAAUGCUCACAUAUUUGUGCUCUCACCAUCAGGUCAGCCUGGUGCCAAGCACAUCCUGUGUGUCAUUCAACACAUUCUGUUCUGCUGUAGGUCUAGUGCAAGGGAAAUGAGCGAAUGGGUCUUGGGGACCACUUGACACAGAACACAUCAGAUGCACACCAUGCUGAACCCCUUUUUCAUCCCCCGUCUUCUCACUUGCCACUGAACUCUCCCCAGAAGCCUUCCAUUCUGUCCCAGUCAAGGUGACUGAAAUUGAGAACCCACAGGAAGUCUGGUGUGUUCUGUUGCCUUACUAUGCUCAGUUCCUAGAACAAGCGGGACCCUGAGAGAUGCCCAGUGAGUAUCACGUGGAGUAAUUAAGAUGAUUAAGCUAACUCGAUAAGAGAAUAUUCUGACACUCGGGCAAAAGAGACAGAAAAGGGCUGGCUUCCAAAUAGUCCUACUAUAUGUUUUUCAUUCACCAUAGAUUUUCACCGCCCUAGGAGGUGGGUGUUCAUGUAAUUCUUGUAUGGGCAUACGUGUCUCUCUCUCUCUCUCUCUCUCUCUCUCUCUCUCUCUCUCUCUGUGUGUGUGUGUGUGUGUGUGUGUGUGUGUGUGUGUGUGUGUGUGUGUGUGUAGGCCUAGGCCAUCUCUCUACCUCUGAUAUUCAGGAGUACCAAACCACUCCAAACUCCACCUUUCAGUGAUUUGUGAAUUUGUAAUUAGAUGGAUGCACAGCAGGGGCAGAAUUUCCGUUCCAAGUGUUUUCCAGGAGGGGUGGAGCAUCAACUGUGAUAGGUCACCAUGCUUUCCUCUGGUCACUGCAGAGCAACCCUAGUGGCCUAGAUAUUUCUGUGCCCCAGGCUGCCUUUGAGUUGGAAUAGAAAACUCUUGCUGUAAAAACACAGCUCUCCAAGUCCCUUUCCCAUUCCAACAGGAGCUGUGUCUGUACUUGGGGAGAAGCCAAGCACAGUAAAAGAUUUCAACAGAGAACUGAGGAAACACCCCCACUGAGGUUCUCAUAGCAACAUAAUCACGCACAACAGCAGCCUAUUUCGGUGGGAGCCUGCUUCAGCUCCCCUCCUCCCCUGUUAGUCACAGAAUGGAUGAACAAGCAGAAGGAGUGUGGGGUGGGGACAGUGUUGGGUUGAAAGUCGGUUGGCUGGGGAGCUGUUUUCCUAAACUCCUGCAGCUUGUUGAGGGACCUUAGACAAAUGUCCCCUUCUCUUUCAUCUGGAGUCCUUACCUGUAAGAGGACUGGCCCAAUGUGUGGGUGGGGAUCUUGCUAUUCUGGUCUUAUUUGAUUGCACAAGUACUAAGCCUCUUUUGAUCCAGCAUCUCAGAGUCUUCGUAUCUGAGGGAAGAUACUUACGGGGGAAAAAGAAGGUACCGAAGGGUAAAAGUCACUUUUUAGAGGCACUUAUGUCCCCUACCCCAUACAACGUGUGGCAGGAUGGGAGUGAAGAAGGACCAGGCAUUGCCAAGACUCUGCUCAUUCACGCCCAACUCGAAUUCAGGUCUGUGGACUGAGAAGGUUGAGGUGAAUUUACUGGGAUUAUAGAUGUGGUUAACCCAAGCUUCUUGCUACAUUUUCUUUAAUCCUUCUUAUCUCCAUCCUCUUCCUGUUUUUCACUCUUCACCUCUGCUCACCGCAGUGUCUCUUCUCUGUGCCUGAGAAUCUUGGUCUAAUAGAAGUAUCUAUCAUGCCGAGCCGGGUUUUGGCCCUUUUCCUCAAUGAACCUGGGUUAGUUGAGGACAGUCACUCGUACACUUCCUGGCUAUCAAAGGUUAUGAUCAGACUAAACAGGGCAUUUGGUUUAAAUAACUCAAAUAAGAACUGAGAUGGAGGGGGCAGAAUGCUCCCGGCACAUCUGUGAGGACCCCGACCUUGACCCUGUGGGCCGGAAAGCCUGAAGGUUCAGCUUUCCCUGAGGUAGCCAGCUAAAGAGUCCUGAGUGAGGCCUCCCUCCCCCAUUGUUCUAUCCCUCAGUGCCUGACAGAUGGCCCGAAAGAGAGAAAAAAGCUCUCAAAGUGAAGACAGGAAUGCAUUGUAUAAAAAUUCACACCCCCCGCUGCCGCCCAAACUCCCUUAAAAAAAGGAGCGAGAGAAUCCUAAUGGGUACGUGACAUCCUCACAGCUCUCUCCCAUAAAAGGGACUUCAG